UACGAAGGUGGCAAGCGUUGUUCGGAUUUACUGGGCGUACAGGGUGCGUAGGCGGUUGGGUAAGCCCUCCGUGAAAUCUCCGGGCCUAACCCGGAAAGUGCGGAGGGGACUGCUCGGCUAGAGGAUGGGAGAGGAGCGCGGAAUUCCCGGUGUAGCGGUGAAAUGCGUAGAGAUCGGGAGGAAGGCCGGUGGCGAAGGCGGCGCUCUGGAACAUUUCUGACGCUGAGGCUCGAAAGCGUGGGGAGCAAACAGG
rnacentral:rRNA from 1 species